rnacentral:tRNA from 1 species
CAUGGGGCAUUAGUUUAUUUAAAAUAUCGAUUUUGUAUAUCGGAGAUGCGUUAGCUAUGUCCCA